GACGAACGCUGGCGGCGUGCUUAACACAUGCAAGUCGAACGGAAAGGCCCUGCUUUUGUGUGGUGCUCGAGUGGCGAACGGGUGAGUAACACGUGAGUAACCUGCCCUUGACUUUGGGAUAACUUCAGGAAACUGGGGCUAAUACCGGAUAGGAGCUCCUGCUGCAUGGUGGGGGUUGGAAAGUUUCGGCGGUUGGGGCUGGACUCGCGGCUUAUGAGCUUGUUGGUGGGGUAGUGGCUUACCAAGGCUUUGACGGGUAGCCGGCCUGAGAGGGUGACCGGCCACAUUGGGACUGAGAGACGGCGCAGACUCCUACGGGAGGCAGCAGUGGGGAAUAUGGCACAAUGGGCGGAAGCCUGAUGCAGCAACGCCGCGUGCGGGAAGACGGCUUUCGGGUGGUAAACCGCUUUCGCCUGAGACGAAGCGUGAGUGACGGUAAUGGGUAAAGAAGCACCGGCUAACUACGUG
rnacentral:rRNA from 1 species